GGCGUGAGCCACCGCGCCUGGCCGACCACAACAAUUUGUAAACACCUCUACAGUUAGGACUAGGUCUGAUUUCAAAGUCUGUGUUUUUAAUCUCUGUGCUGCAAAUCACUCCCUCUGUGUUGCCCAACAGAGAUGGGGCUCUGGGCUGGUGGCUCCCAUUGAACCUACGGAAACCCUGAAGUCUGGAGGGACGUAGGGUGAGAAAGAUGAGCUGAGAAAGCGAAGUCCCUGAGACCCCUCAGCUUUGAGGAGCAGCCCAAGAACAGGAUUCUAGGCAGGCUUUUCUGAUUCAGGGCUGCAUCUGAGGACACCACCAGCAGCUGGACUCUUCCAAGCUGGAACAGGAACACCUAAAAGAUUUACAGGGGACGCACGCUAAGAACAGGCAGGAUGAACAGGCAGAAUGUGGUCUAUCCAUACAACGGAAUAUUAUCCAGCCAUAAAAAAGAAUGGAGCCCUGACACACGCUACAGCAUGGCUGAACCUUGAAAACAUUAUGCCGAGUGAGAAAAGCCAGACACAAAAGACCACAUUUCAUAUGAGUCCAUUUCUGUGCAAUGUCCAGAGUAAGCAAAUCCUUAGAUUUGCAUAGAAAACAAAGAAGUAGUUGCCAGGGACUACGGUAAGGGAGAAUGGAGAGUGACAGCUGGAGGGUACUGGGUUUCUUUCUGGGGUGAUGGUUGCACAACCUUGUGAAUGUACUGGAUUGCACACUUUUAAAGUGUAGAUUUUAUGAUGUGUGAAUUAUAUCUCAAUUAAAAAGAAGACAUGGUAGACAGCUCCACAGCCUGAAGCCUCGACCCCAGGCCCCACAGCCAGUGAGUGACCCAGCGCGCAGGGCAGGAAUCGUAGCUGCUUCUGACUGAGGUCAGGGCAGUGGAAGCAGAGUGGUCAGUUGGUGGCCCGGCACCCUUGUCCUGCUGCUGCCCCCAGAAACUGUGUCCCCAGGUUCCCGAGACACUUGUCUUCUCACUGCUCAGAACCAGUGCACUUCUGAAGCCUCGCUGUAGAUUCCACCCAGGAUCAACGGGCUGAGCCAGUGCAGAGCACUCCUGUGAACCCCGCCAGCUAAGGCCCCGCAAAUAUACUGCAGCUCAGAAGCUGGACAGGAAGGGGUGGUGGUUCAGCUAUAGCCACGGGGACUCUGAGGCCAGAAGUGUGAGAGAAAGCUCUCCAAAUGUCACUCCUGGCUCCAGAAGCUUGAUGAUGGACCAGAUAAGGGCAGAGCCACCCCAAGAACUGACCUUGGUCCUGGGGGUGACUUGGGGCUUAGCAGGACUCCAUGAACAAACCAGGGCGGUGGAAUUUGUACCAAGCUAAAACCAAACGAUGAGUUUACACCCGGCUCUGUCAUUUUCCAGCCCCGUGGCCCUGGAUAUGUGAUUUAAGUUCUCCAAGCCUAUUUCUACCACCGGAAAUGGGAGACUUGCCCUGCUUCCCUCAUGACUGUCGAAGAGGAAACAUGUAUGUGAAAGCAUUCUGUUUUCUGGAAAGGAUCUUAUAAAAGGAAGAUGAAAUUAUCAGUCAAAUCUUGAAAUCUCCCCAUAAGCUCUUUGGGUCCAAGUACUAGGGCCUGGAAUGACCACAGAGGCCCACAGGGAUUUGAGGGAAGAAAAGGCCUAUUUUCCUGACUUAGCACUUGCUGAGGCUGUGGUCGCAGGACACAAUGUCCUGGAAAGGGAGGAUAAUUUCUCCAAAGGGCUGUUUAUUAAUAAAAUUGUUGUCCUAGAGAAGGGUGGCCCAAAGCAGAAUAACUUCCCUUUCUCCCCUCAUUCACAGCCCGUGUUUCUUCCACGGCCCUUCCUGCUGUCUUGUUUGUUUGCUUGUUUUAGAGACAGGGUCUCACUGCAUCCCCCAGGCUGCCGCGCACUGGCACAGUCAGAGCUCCCUGGAACCUCCAGGUCCUGGGGCUCAAGUGAUGCUCCUACUCAGCCUCCCGGGUAGCUGGGACUACAGAUGCCACCACCGCGCCCAGCCUGCUGCUGUUCUUGUGACAUAUCCUCAGGUUCAGAGUCUCUUCUCAGCCAUGUCCGGUCUGCUAACGGGCCCGUCAAAGGCAGUCUUCAUUUCCGCUGAGGUGUUUUUGAUCUCUAGCCUUUCUCUGUGGUUCUCUCUUAGGAUUUCCACCCCUCUGCUGACACCGCCCAUCUACUCUUACACGCUGUCCACUUCAGCCGUUAGAGCCUCAGCAGGGUGCCUUGUAAUUUUUUGAGAGCUGGACGCGACGUGCCGGUGAAAGGAACUGCUGCACGAAGGCCUUUAGCGGUGCCGCGGCGAGGCGUGGGGGAGGGGAGGUGUUCUGCAGUCCUGUGAGUAGGUCUCAGCCUUCUGUUGGGCCUGCGCCCCAAAACUGGGAAUGUCACACGUUUCUGAUUUUUUCUCCCCUCCUUAGGAGGGACAGGAUGGCCAGAGAGGGCUGGCGUCAGGUAUCUCCCUUCCCCAGGUUGGCCAGGCUCCACUAAGACCCCCCCAGGUCAGGCUGCAGUUAACCAGUCUCUCCCGAGAGCAGGGUCCCCAGGAGCAGAGAGUGCUGUGGCCUGUUUCAGCGUGGUUCCUUCCUCCCGCACUUCUGUGAGAACAUGGUGGGGCUCCUGUAGGCAAAGCUCACACAGCGGUGGCGGCCCCAGUGACUGAGUGCCCGUGGGGUUUUGAACUAUCAGACGUGUCCACACUGAGCCCCAGCAAUUACAGCUCAGGUUGUCCUUCCCCAGCACCGUGUCCUUGGAGGUUUCUGCUCUGGUAAGUUGUCGAUCUCUGUGUC